rnacentral:rRNA from 1 species
ACGUAGGGACCAAGCGUUGUUCGGAUUUACUGGGCGUAAAGGGCGCGUAGGCGGCAAAUUAAGUCAUCUGUGAAAUCUCCGAGCUUAACUCGGAACGGUCAGGUGAUACUGAUCUGCUAGAGUGCGGAAGGGGCAAUCGGAAUUCUUGGUGUAGCGGUGAAAUGCGUAGAUAUCAAGAGGAACACCUGUGGCGAAAGCGGCUCACUGGACCACAACUGACGCUGAUGCGCGAAAGCUAGGGGAGCAAACAGGA